rnacentral:rRNA from 1 species
GACAGAGGGUGCAAACGUUGUUCGGAUUCAUUGGGCGUAAAGGGUGCGUAGGCGGCGCGGUAAGUCGGGUGUGAAAUCUCGGAGCUUAACUCCGAAAUUGCAUUCGAUACUGCCGUGCUUGAGGACUGGAGAGGAGACUGGAAUUUACGGUGUAGCGGUGAAAUGCGCAGAUAUCAGGAGGAACACCGAUGGCGAAGGCAGGUCUCUGGGCAUUAACUGACGCUGAGGAGCGAAAGCAUGGGGAGCGAACAGG